rnacentral:rRNA from 1 species
UACGGAGGGGGCAAGCGUUGUUCGGAAUCAUUGGGCGUAAAGGGCGCGUAGGUGGCUCUGUAUGUCUACCGUGAAAGCAUACAGCUCAACUGUAUUUUGUCGGUAGAAACUGCAGGACUUGAGGCUGGGAGGGGCUGGUGGAAUUCCCUGUGUAGCGGUGAAAUGCGUAGAGAUGGGGGAGAACACUCGUGGCGAAGGCGGCCAGCUAGACCAGUUCUGACACUGAGGCGCGACAGCGUGGGGAGCAAACAGG